UACGUAGGGUGCAGGCGUUAAUCGGAAUUACUGGGCGUAAAGCGUGCGCAGGCGGUCUUUUUAAGUCAGAUGUGAAAUCCCCGGGCUUAACCUGGGAACUGCGUUUGAAACUGGAAGGCUUGAGUGUGGCAGAGGGGGGGUGGAAUUCCACGUGUAGCAGUGAAAUGCGUAGAUAUGUGGAGGAACACCGAUGGCGAAGGCAGCCCCCUGGGCUAACACUGACGCUCAUGCACGAAAGCGUGGGGAGCAAACAGG
rnacentral:rRNA from 1 species